UUUGGUGUGGCAGAGCCAGGCAAAUGCAAAAGACCUAAAACCUUUAAUCAGACGUCCAAAUCGUCUCACCAAUA
rnacentral:tRNA from 3 species